GGCGGCUUCCCGAAUGCCGCGGAGGGCCGUUAGGGGGCUCGGGCGCCCAGAAGGCGGGUCGUGUAGACUCGAGCUCGCUCCUCCCUUCCGCUUGGGCCACGGAGCCGCACAGAUCCGGGACCUGGGGUGACCGCCCCGUCCCAAUUGGAUGAGAUGCCACCUCGUCCCAACAAGGACGGACAAAAGGUCUUAACGGGCCUGGAAGGAAACUACAAAGAAGAAACAAAAAGCAACUGAGGCCAGCUGACAUACCAACAAUCCUUUGUGGUGCUGAUUAAGACCGCUGCCUCCAUGGGAAAGGAAGAACUGUGAUGAACAAGUCAUGCUGACACCAGCAAAUCUUCUUAUCCUCACCAGCGUGCAGUUUUGCUCAUCCAGAGGAUAUCUUCGCAGAUCCAUCAUGCACGCAGCUGUGGUUGUGAUCCUGUCAGGGUGAGAGAGAGAAAAGACAGCAACAUAAGGAUGGUGACAUUUCAUUUCCAAGCUCCUCAGCCCUGAAUCAUAUUUAUCAGUUGGCAGAAAUAAGGCAUCAAAUUUUUGCAUUUAAAAAUUUUGGCAGCAGGCAGAUUGGGGUUAAAUCUACUUUGACAAUCAUUAGCUUUUGAGAAUGGGCAGGUUAAUUUAUCUCCAUGCACCUGAAUUCCCACAUUUAUCAAACCAUCUAUUGCACAGGAUUGCUGUAAGUAGUAAAAGACAUAGUGUGUGCAAAGCUUAUAGCCCAGUGCCCUGUCCUUAGCAAGAGCUCCACAAAUGAUGGUUAUUAUUGUAGCUAUUAUUAUCCCAUGCCUUUCCUAUAUUUACUAGCAUCCUAGGAUGCCAAUAUCUGCAGCCUUAUGAGUAGCGGGACAUCUACCUUAUGCAUUGAAGCUUGCCUUACCUUACUGACAUGAAUGGCCUUAUAAAACAAAAUAAAACAAACAUAAAACCCAUCCUGUAUGACUUAUGGUACCUCCCAUUCCCCACAGCAAAUUUUAUUUUUUUCAAAUAUGGGACCAUAUUAUACAUAUUGUUUUGUAAUCUGUUUUUAUUCACUUAAUAAUAUAUCAUGGCUAUCUUUUGUUGUCUGAAACCACAGCUCUAAAACAUUAUU